rnacentral:rRNA from 1 species
UACGAAGGGGGCUAGCGUUGCUCGGAAUCACUGGGCGUAAAGCGCACGUAGGCGGCUUUUUAAGUCAGGGGUGAAAUCCUGGAGCUCAACUCCAGAACUGCCUUUGAUACUGAGAAGCUUGAGUCCGGGAGAGGUGAGUGGAAUUCCGAGUGUAGAGGUGAAAUUCGUAGAUAUUCGGAAGAACACCAGUGGCGAAGGCGGCUCACUGGACCGGUAUUGACGCUGAGGUGCGAAAGCGUGGGGAGCAAACAGG